UACGUAGGGCGCAAGCGUUGUCCGGAAUUAUUGGGCGUAAAGAGCUCGUAGGCGGCUUGUCACGUCGGAUGUGAAAGCCCGGGGCUUAACCCCGGGUCUGCAUUCGAUACGGGCUAGCUAGAGUGUGGUAGGGGAGAUCGGAAUUCCUGGUGUAGCGGUGAAAUGCGCAGAUAUCAGGAGGAACACCGGUGGCGAAGGCGGAUCUCUGGGCAGUCACUGACGCUGAGGCGCGAAAGCUCGGGGAGCGAACGGG
rnacentral:rRNA from 1 species